CACGUAGUUAGCCGGUGCUUCUUCUCUAGGUACCGUCACAUAACGCUUCGUCCCUAGCGAAAGGAGUUUACAACCCGAAGGCCGUCACUCCCCCACGCGGCGUCGCUGCAUCAGGCUUGCGCCCAUUGUGCAAUAUUCCCCACUGCUGCCUCCCGUAGGAGUCUGGGCCGUAUCUCAGUCCCAAUGUGGCCGUACACCCUCUCAGGCCGGCUACCCGUCGACGCCUUGGUAGGCCAUUACCCCACAACAAGCUGAUAGGCCGCGAGCUCAUCCCACACCGAAAAACUUUCCACCACAACCUCCAAGAAGUGGUCCUAUCCGGUAUUAGACCCAGUUUCCCAGGCUUAUCCCGAAGUGCGGGCAGAUCACCCACGUGUUACUCACCCGUUCGCCACUCGAGUACCCAAGCAAGCUUGGGCCUUUCCGUUCGACUUGCAUGUGUUAAGCACGCCGCCAGCGUUCAUCCUGAGCCAGGAUCAAAACUCU
rnacentral:rRNA from 1 species